rnacentral:rRNA from 1 species
CCGCCCGUCGCACCACGAAAGUUGAUUUCACCAGAAGUCAGUGUGCCAACCGUAAGGAAGCAGCUGCCCAAGGUGAGAUCGAUGAUUGGGGUG